GGAAAGAGAAAUCCAAGCUGCAAAUCCCACACCUGCGAAGAGGAGUUCGCUGCAAGCGUUUGGUACACGCUCUGAUGUCACGGCUGCCCACAGGGCGCACACCUCGAUCGCCGAACACUGCAUUCCUGCGGCGUGCGUUCAGCGUGCUGUGGAUCGACGUGCUGCGCACGCUUCUCACCACUGCGGCCUACUACUUCUGCAUAUUCGCAAGGGUUCCUGCUCUCGAACUACUGAUCGACAGCAGAGGUAAAAGCGACCUGUUGAUCUCGUCGCUGCUGUUCAUGGCAACAUGUGUCGGCGAGUGCCUCCUGUCGUCCUACAACAUGGAUCUGAUUACCAUGACCGGGAGCCGCUUUCGGGCGC